rnacentral:sRNA from 1 species
UGUCGGGAACUCCAGGGAGACUGCCGACGAUAAACCGGAGGAAGGUGGGGACGACGUCAAGUCAUCAUGGCCCUUACGAGUAGGGCUACACACGUGCUACAAUGGCGCAUACAGAGGGCGGCCAACUUGCGAAAGUGAGCGAAUCCCAAAAAGUGCGUCGUAGUCCGGAUUGGAGUCUGCAACUCGACUCCAUGAAGUCGGAAUCGCUAGUAAUCGUGGAUCAGAAUGCCACGGUGAAUACGUUCCCGGGCCUUGUACACACCGCCCGUCACACCAUGGGAGUGGGCUGCAAAAGAAGUAGGUAGUUUAACCUUCGGGGGGACGCUUACCACUUUGUGGUUCAUGACUGGGGUGAAGUCGUAACAAGGUAGCGCUAGGGGAACCUGGCGCUGGAUCACCUCCUUAUACG